rfam:Salmo salar isolate Sally breed double haploid chromosome ssa15, whole genome shotgun sequence.
AAAUGAAAUGUAUGUAAGUUGCUCUGGAUAAGAGCGUCUGCUAAAUGACUAAAA